UGAGGAAUUUUGCGCAAUGGGGGAAACCCUGACGCAGCAACGCCGCGUGAGUGAUGAAGGCCUUCGGGUCGUAAAGCUCUGUCAAGUGGGAAGAACCUGCUCUGUGAUAAUACCACGGGGCACCGACGGUACCACUGAAGGAAGCACCGGCUAACUCCGUGCCAGCAGCCGCGGUAAUACGGGGGGUGCUAGCGUUAUUCGGAAUCAUUGGGCGUAAAGGGCGCGUAGGCGGUCUUUUAAGUCAGAUGUGAAAGCCCUCGGCUUAACCGAGGAAGUGCAUUUGAUACUAAGAGACUUGAGUAUGGGAGAGGGAAGCGGAAUUCCUGGUGUAGCGGUGAAAUGCGUAGAUAUCAGGAGGAACACCAGUGGCGAAGGCGGCUUCCUGGACCAAUACUGACGCUGAGGCGCGAAGGCGUGGGGAGCAAACAGGAUUAGAUACCCUGGUAGUCCACGCAGUAAACGGUGAACACUAGGUGUAGCGGGUAUUGACCCCUGCUGUGCCGAAGCUAACGCAUUAAGUGUUCCGCCUGGGAAGUACGGCCGCAAGGUUA
rnacentral:rRNA from 1 species